rnacentral:rRNA from 1 species
AUUGAACGCUGGCGGCAGGCCUAACACAUGCAAGUCGAGCGGAUGAACGGAGCUUGCUCCUGGCUUCAGCUGCGGACGGGUGAGUAAUGCCUAGGAAUCUGCCUGGUCUUUGGGGAUAACGUCCGGAAACGGGCGCUAAUACCGCAUACGUCCUGAUGUAGAACGUGGGGGAUCUUCGGACCUCACGCUAUCAGAUGAGCCUAGGUCGGAUUAGCUAGUUGGUGGGGUAAAGGCCUACCAAGGCGACGAUCCGUAACUGAUCUGAGAGGAUGAUCAGUCACACUGGAACUGAGACACGGUCCAGACUCCUACGGGAGGCAGCAGUAGGGAAUAUUGGGCAAUGGGCGAAAGCCUGAUCGAGCCAUGCCGCGUGUGUGAAGAAGGUCUUCGGAUUGUAAAGCACUUUAAGUUGGGAGGAAGAGCAGUAAGUUAAUACCUGGAUGUCUUGACGGUACCAAAAGAAUAAGCACCGGCUAACUACGUG